rnacentral:rRNA from 1 species
CCUACGGGAGGCAGCAGUGAGGAAUAUUGGUCAAUGGACGCAAGUCUGAACCAGCCAUGCCGCGUGCAGGAAGACGGCUCUAUGAGUUGUAAACUGCUUUUGUACGGGGGUAAACUCAGAUACGUGUAUCUUUCUGAACGUAUCGUACGAUUAAGGAUCGGCUAACUCAGUGCCAGCCGCCGCGGUAAUACGGAGGAUACAAGCGUUAACCGGAUUUAUUGGGUUUAAAGGGUACGUAGGCUGGCGGAUAAGUUAGGGGUGAAAUCCCGGGCGUCAACUUCGGAAUUGCCUCUGAUACUGUCAGGCUAGAGAGUAGUGGCGGUAGGCGGAAUGUAUGGUGUAGCGGUGAAAUGCUUAGAGAUAAGAAAGAACACCGAUGGCGAAGGCAGCUUACCAAGUUACGUCUGACGUUGAGGCACGAAAGCGUGGGGAGCAAACAGGAUUAGAUACCCGUGUAGUC